rnacentral:tRNA from 1 species
GCAGAGUUCAGCCAUUUUGGCCGAAACACACUGCCCUCCGAAGGCAGAGGCCAGGGGUUCGAAUCCCUUCGGGUGCGCCA